CCCUUAGAUGUUCUGGGCCGCACGCGCGCUACGCUGAUGCAUUCAACGAGUCUAAAACCUGGUCUGAUAGGGCUGGGUAAUCUUUUGAAAGUGCAUCGUGAUUGGGAUAGAUGAUUGCAAUUCUUCAUCUUCAACGAGGAAUGCCUAGUAAACGCAAGUCAUCAGCUUGCAUUGAUUACGUCCCUGCCCUUUGUACACACCGCCCGUCGCUCCUACCGAUUGAAUGAUCCGAUGAAUACCAUGGAUUGAGAGUACGAAUGGGUUCGCUCAUUUCUGCUGCUCGAGAAGUGGAGUAAAUCUUAUCAUUUAGAGGAAGGAGAAGUCGUAACA
rnacentral:rRNA from 1 species